CGAACGCCGUCUGGAGAGCCGCCACAACCCGUGGCGCACCGAAGGAGCAAGCCCUGCGCCGUGUUGGCCGCGGGGUGAAUCUCUCAGGUACCAAGGACAGGGGGAGCGGC
rnacentral:ncRNA from 2 species